rnacentral:rRNA from 1 species
CAGCAGCCGCGGGAAUACGAAGGGUGCAAGCGUUAAUCGGAAUUACUGGGCGUAAAGCGUGCGUAGGCGGUGGGUUAAGUCUGCUGUGAAAUCCCCGGGCUCAACCUGGGAACUGCAUUUGUGACUGGCAGGCUAGAGUAUGGCAGAGGGGGGUGGAAUUCCGCGCGUAGCAGUGAAAUGCGUAGAUAUGCGGAGGAACACCGAUGGCGAAGGCAGCCCCCUGGGCCAAUACUGACGCUCAUGCACGAAAGCGUGGGGAGCAAACAGGAUUAGAUACCCGCGUAGUCCCUGUCUCUUAUAC